AUCACUUCAUUUCCACACCAGAGAGGUACGUGAUCAAGGCUCUGUCUGUGCGGCAGAUGGCAGGCUUUAUGACAGCUUGUCUUGUGGAAUGGAAGCAGCAAAGACAGAUGUCCUUUGACAAGCCCAGGUUCACCAAACUAGAUCUCCAGAACUAAUCAGCAUUAAAAAAGAAGAGUGUCACUGCCAAGGUUGCUGCUUACCUUCAAAUAGCAGAGAUGGAUAUUUGCAACAGCUUGAAAGUUAAUGCAAAUGGAGGAGUAGAAGAUAUGUUCAUGGAUGUACUGUUCUACCUGAAGCAUGGAUAACAGGCCUUUCCAGUCCAACAAGCUCACUCCACCUAAUUACACCCAUGUGACCAGCUAAUGUACUAACCUGUACAUUUUUGAAUAUAAGAGGAAACCAGAGUUCCAGGAAGAAAUCAAAGCAGUCAUGCAUAGAAUGUACAAAGAGCUUACAAACAGUAAUGGAGUGAGUUUGGG